UGAGGUGUAGCUCAGAGGUAUAGUGCUUGCCUUGAAUGCAUGAAGCUCUGGAUUUGACCUCUAGCACCUCUU
rnacentral:tRNA from 1 species